AACGUAGGACGCAAGCGUUAUCCGGAGUUACUGGGCGUAAAGCGCGGGCAGGCGGCUCGAUGCGUCUGAUGUGAAAUCUCCUCGCUCAACGGGGAGAGGCCAUUGGAAACGGUCGGGCUGGAGGGCAGUAGAGGCAGGCGGAAUUCCGGGUGGAGUGGUGAAAUGCGUAGAGAUCCGGAGGAACACCAGAGGCGAAGGCGGCCUGCUGGGCUGCGCCUGACGCUGAACCGCGAAAGCCAGGGGAGCGAACGGG
rnacentral:rRNA from 1 species